GACGAACGCUGGCGGCGUGCCUAAUACAUGCAAGUCGAGCGGAUUUUCGGAAGCUUGCUUCCGAAAAUUAGCGGCGGACGGGUGAGUAACACGUGGGCAACCUGCCUGUAAGACUGGGAUAACUUCGGGAAACCGGAGCUAAUACCGGAUACAUUCUUCCCUCGCAUGAGGGAAGAUGGAAAGCCGGUUUUGCUGUCACUUACAGAUGGGCCCGCGGCGCAUUAGCUAGUUGGUGGGGUAAUGGCCCACCAAGGCGACGAUGCGUAGCCGACCUGAGAGGGUGAUCGGCCACACUGGGACUGAGACACGGCCCAGACUCCUACGGGAGGCAGCAGUAGGGAAUCUUCCGCAAUGGACGAAAGUCUGACGGAGCAACGCCGCGUGAGCGAAGAAGGCCUUCGGGUCGUAAAGCUCUGUUGUCAGGGAAGAACAAGUACCAUAGUAACUGAUGGUACCUUGACGGUACCUGACCAGAAAGCCACGGCUAACUACGUGCCAGCAGCCGCAGUAAGAC
rnacentral:rRNA from 1 species